CUUCACAGUGGCGGGUGGACCUAUCAGUGAUUGUGUGCUUGUUUAUUCAGGACACGGGUAGAGCUGUGGUCUAAACCACUGAGCCUCUUGCUGCUGUCAGAUGUGGCGGAGGACCUUGUCCUGUCACCAGUGUUGAAGUAAGAGUCAAUUGCCUGUCUGAUGGGAUCCUGGACAUGGGGUUAUGGAGCAGGCCCUCAUCCAACCGAAGAACUGAAGUGCCAGGUCCCCCCGCCAAUAGAAUAAUAGAACUGUAGAGUUAGAAGGAGCCCUGAGCAUCAUCCAGGCCAAUCCCCUGCAAUGCAGGAAUAUGCAGCUGUCCCAUAUGGGGAUCAAACCUGCUGGGACUACAGUUCCUAUCAUCCCCAAUCACGGGACAUGCUGACCGGGGACUCAUGGGAGUUGGAGUCCGACAGCACCUGGAAGGCCACAGGUUAAGACCCUGUGCCCUCUACUGAUCACGGUUCUGAACCAGCAGGAAACCUCUGAUGGUGGCAUCAAGAGAACUUUGCAGAAACUCGGCAGUGUUGCCUCUUUCCCUUCAACCCUUGCUUUUUUGUUAUUUUAUUCCAUCCUCGCUUGCCUCCCCUUCCUCCAAGCCUUUUUUUUUUUUAUCCCCUCCCUUUUUUUGUAAUUUAAAACUCUGCUCCAUUUGCUGCCACUGACCUUAACGGCUUAAAUUAAAAAGCAAUGUUCUGUGUAUGUCUUGAAAUCACGGCAUUCAGGACCCUAUGAAGCUUGACACAGGAGCGGCAGGCGGGGUGGUGGGGGUGGGGAGAGAGAAGCAGGUACAAUUACCAGCCCCCUCCAUUCCCCCCCCUACAUCUCUUUCCGAGCGGAUAUCUUCUCCUGCCUUACUAUUUCCCCCCUUCCCCUCUCUCUUCUUCACUCCGCAACAUUUAUGUUUUUAAUAACACCCGUAAUGACUUUGACCUUGUGGAUUUACAUUGGAAUUUGCAAAGAAGAUGCAGCGUAGAGGCACUCGCUUUGCUAUUUGUCUAAAUCUUCUUCCUGGGAACGGAAGAGAGAGGGAGGAGAUUUCUCUCUCUGUCAUGCUGCUUGACUGGGGACCGGGACUCAGGUGUCAACUUAAUUUGUGGGUGUAAAAGAGGGGAAGAGACGGAGAGAUAGAAAGGGUGUUGGGGGGGGGGGAGAGAGAGAAAAAAGUGUUUUGCAGGGUGGCAGAGAGAACAGACACACAAUUCACGGCAGCUAUGCACUGAACAGGGCUAUGCACACACCAAUAAAUGGUGGCUCUGAGCUACAAACUAACAAUGGCUAAGGCCAGAUCCAUGCAAUACACUUAAGUCACAUCAAAUGCCCCCUUAAAGCAUACAGCUCCCCCCAAGGAAUGUUAAGGGGGCUGGGAAUAGUAGCUCCGGGAGGAGGUAAGCCCAGUUCCAUAUCCUCAGGUGUCCUUAUAUUCCAGGGACAGUGCCGGAAUUAGGAAAGCCAUCCUGGCUUCUGAUUUGAUCCUGUUGUUGUUUAGUUGUGUCCGACUCUUUGUGACCCCAUGGACCAGAGCACGCCAGGCAAUCCUGUCUUCCCCUGCCUCCUGCAGUUUGGUCAAACUCAUGCUGGUAGCUUUGAGAACACUGUCCAACCAUCUUGUCCUCUGUCGUCCCCUUCUUCUUGUGCCCUCCAUCUUUCCCAGCAUCAGGGUCUUUUCCAGGGAGUCUCCUCGUCUCAUGAAGCUGAUUUUGACACACAACCCAAAGGAAACUGCAAGGAAAAGGCACAUGGGACCAUGUAACAUGAGUUGAUCCUCAUGUCAUUAUUGAUACCCCACACGUGUAUGCUGAACCGGUUCCUAUGUACAAAACGCAAUAUAUAUAUAUUUCCUCCCCAGGGAAGCUAUAUUACCAUUCAUACUACCAUUGAUCAUUAUUUUCUUGCUCUGUGUCUCAGCUGGUCACCCAUUCCUUCAUUUCUAAGGCAUCAGCGUGUCAUUUACCUCAGUGGUAAAAGCCAGCAGGUACGGUCUUGUAUGACUUUAAAAUUACCAGGGUUCUUUAGAAUGGUGGUAGGAAUGCUGUCAAGAGAUGUGGGCUCAGGACCCUUCUGGGAAACCUGUUUAUUGCACAUUCAUCCUGAUUCAUUUGCAGGGAGAUCAUGGGCCUUGUGGGUGUCUUCUGCAACAUGUUCUUGACGCAACAAUAGCACCUUAGCAGUGAAUUUAUUCUGCUUUCAUUUGUUCUUCAGGUGCUUCCCCGAUGCUACCGCAUAUUUGCCGUCCAGAUAGCACAACCAAAGUGGGAUAAAAAUAAACCAGAAAAUUUGUGGGAUGAAAUGUUAUGGGACUUCAACAGCAUCUGCACUGAUCGGAAAUGAAGCAAUUCAAACCUCUCCCCACUUGGGGGGGGGGAGCUUUUGCGGGAUCAAACAGUAUUGAAAGUAGGAUGACGUGUGACAGCCCCAAUAGCAUCAAGAGCACAAUCCGUCAUGAAUGUGCAAUAAAAAGGAUGUCUGCAGGGGCCCUAGGUGCUGUUGACUUUUUAAUGAGCAUUCGUCUGAAUUUGUUUGCAGAGAGGCCGGAUGAUGUUAUAUCGAAGUGAAAUCCUGAGUUUCCCCUCUAUCACUUUCCUUCUUGCAAAAAAAGAUGGAUCUUUGAGGUAGUGAGUUUGUUCCACAAUCAGCUAUACUUGCGCAACCUGAGUUUGCUGGCAUGUGACAGAAUCCCACCCCAAAACAGAAAUGAUUUGGAAGCACUCACAGGGAGGAAUUCAAUCCAGGCAUGUCCAAAGUCUGUUUCGGGGAUCUAAUUCAGUUUAAUCUGGCCCCUGUGGCAGUUUAUUUCCUGGGGUAAAAUCCUUUAAAAAUAAUUUAUUAUUUGUAUCACCCCCAUUUGACAGGGUUGCCCUACAACAACUAGUAGUAGUUAUCCAAACCUUUCUUCAAGGAGGCUGUUGUGGGUGAACAUAUCAGACGACA